UGGGGAAUAUUGCACAAUGGGCGCAAGCCUGAUGCAGCCAUGCCGCGUGUGUGAAGAAGGCCUUCGGGUUGUAAAGCACUUUCAGCGAGGAGGAAGGUGGUGAACUUAAUACGUUCAUCGAUUGACGUUACUCGCAGAAGAAGCACCGGCUAACUCCGUGCCAGCAGCCGCGGUAAUACGGAGGGUGCAAGCGUUAAUCGGAAUUACUGGGCGUAAAGCGCACGCAGGCGGUUUGUUAAGUCAGAUGUGAAAUCCCCGGGCUCAACCUGGGAACUGCAUUUGAAACUGGCAAGCUAGAGUCUCGUAGAGGGGGUAGAAUUCCAGGUGUAGCGGUGAAAUGCGUAGAGAUCUGGAGGAAUACCGGUGGCGAAGGCGGCCCCCUGGANGAAGACUGACGCUCAGGUGCGAAAGCGUGGGGAGCAAACAGAUUAG
rnacentral:rRNA from 1 species